GUGCUUGCUUCGGCAGCACAUAUACUAAAACUGAAAUGAUACAGAGAAGAUUAGCAUGGCCCCUGCGCAAGGAUUACAUGCAAAUUUGUGAAGUGUUCUGUAUUUCU
ensembl:snRNA U6 U6 spliceosomal RNA